GGGGCUGCAUUGGUUUCGACGCGGGUUGGAAUCGCAGCGGGGCAUGUCGAGGUUCAGUCACCUCGUAAAACAGCUGAAACAAACUAACUGCAAACGACGAACGUUUCGCACUCGCCGCCUAAACACCGGUGAGCCUCGCAACAGCGGGCCGAUGGGCUGGGCAAGGGCGGCGCAAGCCGUCCCGGCUGCGAGGGAAUCCACAUCGGCUGGCCGGUGUCCGGGCGCCUUGGACACGGGUGAGAUUCAAGGGCGCUGGCUGUCCGGGUAGCGUGCGACUGCGCGAUUCGGGCGGCGAGAUCAAAACAGCUCGCUAAACAUGUAGAUCCCUGCGAGGAAGAUUUGCGGACGCGGGUUCGACUCCCGCCAGCUCCACCA
rnacentral:tmRNA from 1 species